rnacentral:lncRNA from 1 species
AGUGCGUCUGCCGGGAGCAGAGCUCAGAGCAGGGCACUCUUGACUCGCGUGGGGAGGAAGCCAGGAAGGCGCGUGGAGGAGGGCACUCUUGACUCCCGAGCUACUCAACUGAGACAGGAGGGACAGCAGCCUCCACAGAGACGCAGCUGCAGUCCAGGCUGCGUCUGGGAAGAGCGAGGCUGUGGCUGCAGUGGGGCUGCUGAGUGGCUGGAGAUGAAACUGGAACCCUGGAUUGGGCUCAGAUUGUGACAAGGCUAAGGCCUUGUGUGGGGUUUCCAGUUUUAGUUCUUAGGAGAGGAGCUCCUGGAGGCGGCCUCGGCUGGAGCCUGGGCAGUUGUAAUGCAGCCCUCAGUAGCCAUGAGCUUCUGCUGGGUCUCCAAGGGCUCAGCCUAAAGGGAAAAGAUGGCAGCUGAUGGUCAGGGGCCAGGGUUCCAGUGUUGCAAGGUCCCUGAGAUGGUCGGCCAUGUGCAGAUGAGGGA